ensembl:snoRNA
GUCCUUUUGUAGUCCAUAAGCAUGAUGAUUGGGUUUUCACGUGCGCAUGUGAGAUGGGGCUCCUUCACAUCUAAUCACAACAUAGGCACGUUACCCAUUUCAUA